rnacentral:rRNA from 1 species
UACGGAGGGUGCAAGCGUUGUCCGGAUUUAUUGGGUUUAAAGGGUGCGUAGGCGGCCCGUUAAGUCAGUGGUGAAAGCCUCCAGCUCAACUGGAGAACUGCCAUUGAUACUGGCGGGCUUGAGUACAGACGAGGUUGGCGGAAUUGAUUGUGUAGCGGUGAAAUGCAUAGAUACCCUGCAGAACACCGAUUGCGAAGGCAGCUUACUAAGUUUGUCACUGACGCUGAGGCACGAAAGCGUGGGGAUCAAACAGG